ACGGCUCAUUAUAACAGCUAUAAUUUACUUGAUCUUGACACUAUCCUACUUGGAUAACUGUGGUAAUUCUAGAGCUAAUACAUGCAUUAAAGCUCUGACCUCACGGGAAGAGUGCAUUUAUUAGGACAAAACCAAGCGGCUUCGGCUGUUUCUGGUUGACUCAUAGUAACUGAGCUGAUCGCAUGGUCUUGUACCGGCGACGUGUCUUUCAAGUAUCUGCCGUAUCAACUUUCGAUGGUAGUGUAUCUGACUACCAUGGUGAUCACGCGUAACGGAGAAUAAGGGUUCGGCUCCGGAGAGUUCGCCUGAGAAAUCGCGAACACAUCUAAGGAAGGCAGCAGGCGCGAAAAUUACCCACUCUCAGCACGAGGAGGUAGUGACGAAAAAUAACGAGACCGUUCUCUUCUGAGGCCGGUCAUCGGAAUGGGUACAAUUUAAACCCUUUAACGAGUAUCUAUGAGAGGGCAAGUCUGGUGCCAGCAGCCGCGGUAAUUCCAGCUCUCAAAGUGCAUAGAAUUAUUGCUGCGGUUAAAAAGCUCGUAGUUGGAUCUGUGCCAUAGGACGUGGUCCACCUUUUUGGUGCGCACUACGCUCCUAGGCUUUUUGCUGGUUUUCCCGUCGUAGCCUUCACUGGUUGCGGCGGGUGGCUGGCGAGUUUACUUUGAGAAAAUCAGAGUGCUCAAUACAGGCGUAUCGCUUGAAUGAUUGUGCAUGGAAUAAUAGAAAAGGAUUUCGGUCCUCUUUUAUUGGUUUUGUGGACUGAGAUAAUGGUUAACAGGGACAAACGGGGGCAUUCGUAUCGCUGCGUGAGAGGUGAAAUUCUUGGACCGUAGCGAGACGCCCUACUGCGAAAGCAUUUGCCAAGAAUGUCUUCAUUAAUCAAGAACGAAAGUCAGAGGUUCGAAGGCGAUCAGAUACCGCCCUAGUUCUGACCGUAAACGAUGCCAACUAGCGAUCCGCCGGUGGAUUUUUAGCCCUGGUGGGUAGCUUCCCGGAAACGAAAGUCUUCCGGUUCCGGGGGAAGUAUGGUUGCAAAGCUGAAACUUAAAGGAAUUGACGGAAGGGCACCACCAGGAGUGGAGCCUGCGGCUUAAUUUGACUCAACACGGGGAAACUCACCCGGCCCGGACACCGUAAGGAUUGACAGAUUGAUAGCUCUUUCAUGAUUCGGUGGUUGGUGGUGCAUGGCCGUUCUUAGUU
rnacentral:rRNA from 1 species